ensembl:snRNA U6 U6 spliceosomal RNA
GUGCUUGCUUCGGCAGCACAUAUACUAAAAUUGAAAUGAUACAGAGAAGAUUAGCAUAGUCCCUGAGCAAGGAUGACAUGCAAAUAAAAAUUUAAAAAUAAAAU